AUGAACGCUGGCGGCGUGCCUAAUACAUGCAAGUCGCGCGAACAGACGAGGAGCUUGCUCCUCUGACGUUAGCGGCGGACGGGUGAGUAACACGUGGAUAACCUACCUAUAAGACUGGGAUAACUUCGGGAAACCGGAGCUAAUACCGGAUAAUAUAUUGAACCGCAUGGUUCAAUAGUGAAAGACGGUUUUGCUGUCACUUAUAGAUGGAUCCGCGCCGCAUUAGCUAGUUGGUAAGGUAACGGCUUACCAAGGCAACGAUGCGUAGCCGACCUGAGAGGGUGAUCGGCCACACUGGAACUGAGACACGGUCCAGACUCCUACGGGAGGCAGCAGUAGGGAAUCUUCCGCAAUGGGCGAAAGCCUGACGGAGUAACGCCGCGUGAGUGAUGAAGGUCUUCGGAUCGUAAAACUCUGUUAUUAGGGAAGAACAAAUGUGUAAGUAACUAUGCACGUCCUGACGGUACCUAAUCAGAAAGCCACGGCUAACUACGUG
rnacentral:rRNA from 1 species